GUUGUGGCUCAGUGGUAAAGCAUUUGCCUAGCAUGCAUGAGGCACUGGGUUCAAUCCUCAGCACUACA
rnacentral:tRNA from 1 species